AGUUCAACAGAGAAGACAAGAGCUGGUCAGUCCAAUGGUGCGGCACAAGCAAAUGGGUUAUAGUAAGUGAGAACACGGUCUCUGACGGUGGAAUUAGUGCGGAGUGACUGUCUGCAUCCUGCAUCUCUUGUCCGUGCAUCCUGAAGUUGCUAGCAAAGGCAGGAAUGAAAAAUGUAGCCCUCGUCUGUGGUUGACACAUGAUUAUUAGAUUCCUCAGGAUUUCUUGAAUUUGUUUUGCAACUGACAUAACACAAAUGGCUCGGGCACUUUUUGAACCAAGGAAGCAAUUUCAAAAUCUGAUAUCACAGGAGAAGGAAAACAAAUCGGCCCUGUCUGUGAGUAUACAGUGGGCCUAAAAAUACACUGCUGCAAUUUCAUGGCUGACCUGUGCUGUAAUUGACUCCCGGUGGUUCACUUAUUGAAAUUUUAAUUCUUGGGCAUCUACAUUUAGC
rnacentral:lncRNA from 1 species